rnacentral:rRNA from 1 species
AGGACGAACGCUGGCGGCGUGCUUAACACAUGCAAGUCGAGCGGAAAGGCCCUUCGGGGUACUCGAGCGGCGAACGGGUUGAGUAACACGUGAGCAACCUGCCCUUAGCUCUGGGAUAGCUCCGGGAAACCGGAAAUUAAUACCGGAUACUUACACCGGCUGGCAUCGGACUGGUGUGGAAAGAUUUAGUCGGCUAAGGAUGGACUCGCGGCCUAUCAGCUUGUUGGUGGGUAGAAGCCUACCAAGGCGACGACGGGUA